CCUAUGGGGGGCAGCAGUGGGGAAUAUUGGGCAAUGGAGGCAACUCUGACCCAGCAACGCCGCGUGAAUGAUGAAGGUCUUCGGAUUGUUAAGUUCUGUGAUGGGGGAUGAACACAAUGACGGUACCCCAAUAGCAAGCCACGACUAACUACGUGCCAGCAGCCGCGGUAAUACGUAGGUGGCAAGCGUUAUGCGGAAGGACUGGGCGUAAAGGGUGCGUAGGUGGGUUAGGAAGUUGGCGGUGUAAUUCCGGGGCCCAACCUCGGCGCUACCGCCAAAACUAUUAGACUAGAGUGCAGGAGGGGUAAGUGGAAUGCCUGGUGUAGCGGUGGAAUGCGUAGAUAUUAGGCAGAACAUCAGGGGCGAAGGCGACUUACUGGACUGAAACUGACACUGAGGCACGAAAGCGUGGGGAGCGAACAGGAUUAGAUACCCUAGUAGUC
rnacentral:rRNA from 1 species